rnacentral:rRNA from 1 species
GUCGAACGGUAACAGGAAGCAGCUUGCUGCUUCGCUGACGAGUGGCGGACGGGUGAGUAAUGUCUGGGGAUCUGCCUGAUGGAGGGGGAUAACUACUGGAAACGGUAGCUAAUACCGCAUAACGUCGCAAGACCAAAGAGGGGGACCUUCGGGCCUCUUGCCAUCAGAUGAACCCAGAUGGGAUUAGCUAGUAGGUGGGGUAACGGCUCACCUAGGCGACGAUCCCUAGCUGGUCUGAGAGGAUGACCAGCCACACUGGAACUGAGACACGGUCCAGACUCCUACGGGAGGCAGCAGUGGGGAAUAUUGCACAAUGGGCGCAAGCCUGAUGCAGCCAUGCCGCGUGUAUGAAGAAGGCCUUCGGGUUGUAAAGUACUUUCAGCGGGGAGGAAGGGGAAAUGGUUAAUAACCACUUUCAUUGACGUUACCCGCAGAAGAAGCACCGGCUAACUCCGUGCUAGCAGCCGCGGUAAUACGAGGUGCAAGCGUUAAUCGGAAUUACUGGGCGUAAAGCGCAC